UUCUCUCUCUCUCUCUCUCUCUCUCUCUCUUUUUCUCUUUCUCUCUCUCGGAUUGACCAAGCCGUAAUUAAAUGAGUCUUCUUCUAAUGGAGUCCUCGGACUUCGAAUCCUCGUGAGAUCGAGUGCUCACGCGAUGCGAGCGAGGGAGAUGCAUCCGCUCUGCUGCAUUUCGAUCGACGGCCCCCGGGUCGGCGACCGCUCGCCGGAGCUGGCGGAACCGGAACCGGAGCCGGAGCUCUACGGCAUCGUCGAGGGCGAGGCCUCGUCGUCAGCGGUCGCCGUUGCCGGGGUGCUCUACAAGUGGAUCAACUUCGGGAAGGGGUGGCGAUCCCGGUGGUUCUCUCUCCGGAACGGUGUCCUCUGCUACUCCAAGAUCCCCCGAGGGGAGGAGGUCUCCUUCUCCGAGGGCGACCGCGUCCGCCUCAUCGGCACCGCCGCCUCCCGGCUUUCCCGGGCCAACGCCAGUGGCGGCCGACGGAACCCUCCGAAGCCGGUCGGCGUCGUUUAUCUCAAGGUCUCAUCAUUUCGUGUAAGUAAGACAGAUCAAAGACGUUUCUAUAUAUUUUCUCCUACGAAGACACUUCAAUUGAGAACUGAUUCAAAGAAAGAUCGUGUUGCCUGGAUUGAGGCUUUGAUCUCAGCAAGAAAUAAAUUUUUUGUUGAUAGAAGGAUAUCUUUUAUCCAGAAUGAUAUACCUAUUUCAACCAAAAGGCUAAGAGAUCGCAUGCAUGUGGAGGGAUUAGAUGAGGCACUUAUCAAGGAUUGUGAGCAGAUCAUGCUGUCAGAAUUUUCAGAGUUUCAGAGACAGUUGAAGCUUCGUUAUGAAGAACAUUUAAGCUUUCUUUGCACAUUUCAACAGCAGCUUGAGGAUAUUAAUGCUGACGAAGUGACCACAACAAUCCAUGAAGGUCAAUUGCAGUUGCUGAAGCAUGCAUAUGCUUGCUCUGGGCAUGGAAAAUACAGUGAAUAUAGUACCACAGAGUCAUCCGAUGAUGUUGAAAAGCAAGAGCUAGAUGAGUUGUCAGAUGAAGGCGAGCCUUACUUCUUUGACACGAAGGAGAGUUUUUGUGAUUCUACUGUUGUCUGUGCCUCUAAAAUAAGAGACUUAGACCAUGCCGAUAAAAGUUGUGGCACUGGAAAUUGCUCAGACACUGUGGAGAUGAUGGAUCUUGAAACAGAGCCAAAUGAUCAUAAUACAUUUCCAUAUAUCAGGAGGCGUUCAAAAUUGCCUGAUCCUAUUGAGAAGGAAAAAGGUGUUAGCCUUUGGUCAAUGAUCAAAGAUAAUGUUGGAAAGGAUCUUACACGAGUUUGCCUUCCCGUUUACUUUAAUGAACCACUAUCAACACUUCAGAAGUGCUUUGAGGACUUGGAAUACUCUUAUUUGUUGGAUCAAGCAUAUGAGUAUGGGAAAAUGGGGAACAGUCUCAUGAGAAUUCUGCAUGUAGCUGCCUUUGCAGUCUCUGGAUAUGCUUCUUCUGAUGGGCGCCACUGCAAACCAUUCAAUCCUUUGCUAGGGGAGACUUAUGAAGCUGACUUCCCUGAAAAAGGAAUUCGCUUCUUCUCUGAAAAGGUUAGCCACCACCCGACACUCAUUGCCUGCCACUCUGAAGGUAAAGGUUGGAAAUUCUGGGGUGACAGCAAUCUCAAAAGUAAAUUUUGGGGGCAAACUAUUCAAAUAGACCCUGUUGGUGUAUUGACACUGGAAUUUGAUGAUGGUGAAAUUUUUCAAUGGAGGAAGGUCACAACAACUAUUUAUAACCUCAUAUUUGGUAAAGUAUACUGUAACCACCAUGGAACAAUGAGUAUACUGGGCAACCAGCAAUAUUCAUGCAAACUGAAGUUCAAAGAGCAGUCUCUUCUCGAACGCAACCCUCGCCAGGUGCAAGGUUUUAUUGUGGAUGUCAAUGGAACUAAAGUUGCUACUUUGAUGGGAAAAUGGGAUGACAGCAUGUACUACACCAUAGAUGAUAUCUCCAAGACCAAGGGUUGUAUUUCAACACAAGAUGCUACCUUAUUGUGGAAAAGGAGUAAGCCUCCUGCUAAUCCCACUCGGUACAACUUGUCAUCAUUUGCAAUUACACUGAAUGAGCUAGCACCAGAAUUACAGGAGAAACUUCCACCUACGGAUUCAAGACUUCGACCAGAUCAAAGAUAUUUAGAGAAUGGGGAAUAUGAGAAGGCAAAUGCAGAGAAGCAGCGAUUGGAGAGAAGGCAGCGAAUGUCAAGAAAAUUGCAGGAGAAUGGCUGGAAGCCAAGAUGGUUUUGGAAGGAUAGUGAUGAUGGCACAUUUCGCUAUAUAGGUGGCUACUGGGAAGCAAGAGAACAGAGGAAAUGGGAUAAUUGCCCAGAUAUAUUUGGUGAAUUUUCUGAAGAUCAGAAUGUUCCUCCCAGUAAUUAAAGAGAAACCAAGUGAUCAGAUACCUUGUAGUCCAAUGAAAUUGCUGAUCGUAAUCGGAUAUAAUGUGGUUCGGUCUUGAGUGGCUCCAGUCCUGCCCAAGGCUCCCUUUCUCUUGAUGAAAUCAAUGUCUCCCUAAAGAGUUGUACAUCAGUUUCAUAUUUCCCCUUUAUGUUUCUUCUUACUGUCUUUGGGAUCAGAUCAAACUAAUUGUCAAGAGUACAAAGCAUUAGUACUGUGGAUUCUGAUUUUUCUUUUUUUGAAGAAACAUUCUAUAGACUAUGAUCAAAGCUGUAGAUUAUUUGUGGACAGGCA